GGGGCGACUACCUCUGAAUAAGAAACGGAGGCGAGCUUAUGGUAUUAUUAAAAUCUCAUUAGCCUGACAGUGAGGGGGACACCCCUAGCUGGCACAAGGACUUACCCAUUACAACGUAAUGGGUU
rnacentral:rRNA from 1 species